rnacentral:rRNA from 1 species
UUGGACGCUGGCGGCAUGCUUUACACAUGCAAGUCGAACGGCAGCGGGGGCUUCGGCCCGCCGGCGAGUGGCGAACGGGUGAGUAAUGCAUCGGAACGUACCCAGUCGUGGGGGAUAACUACGCGAAAGCGUAGCUAAUACCGCAUACGCCCUGAGGGGGAAAGUGGGGGAUCGCAAGACCUCACGUUAUUCGAGCGGCCGACGUCUGAUUAGCUAGUUGGUGGGGUAAAGGCUCACCAAGGCGACGAUCAGUAGCGGGUCUGAGAGGAUGAUCCGUCACACUGGAACUGAGACACGGUCCAGACUCCUACGGGAGGCAGCAGUGGGGAAUUUUGGACAAUGGGGGCAACCCUGAUCCAGCCAUUCCGCGUGAGUGAAGAAGGCCUUCGGGUUGUAAACUGCUUUUGUACGGAGCGAAAAGGCUCUCUCUAAUACAGGGGGCUCAUGACGGUACCGUAAGAAUAAGCACCGGCUAACUACGU